rnacentral:rRNA from 1 species
GGAGUAGCAAUACUCCCGCCGGCGACCGGCGCACGGGUGAGUAACACGUAUGAAACCUGCCCGUAGCAGGGGGAUAAGCGGAAGAAAUUCCGUCUAAUACCGCGUAACAACCCAUGGAGGCAUCUCCGUGGGUUUAAAGGAAGCGAUUCCGGCUACGGAUGGUCAUGCGUCGCAUUAGCUUGUUGGCGGGGUAACGGCCCACCAAGGCGACGAUGCGUAGGGGUUCUGAGAGGAAGGUCCCCCACACUGGUACUGAGACACGGACCAGACUCCUACGGGAGGCAGCAGUGAGGAAUAUUGGUCAAUGGCCGCAGGGCUGAACCAGCCAAGUCGCGUGAGGGAUGACGGUCCUAUGGAUUGUAAACCUCUUUUGUCAGGGAGCAAAGGGCGCCACGUGUGGCGUUUUGCGAGUACCUGAAGAAAAAGCAUCGGCUAACUCCGUGCCAGCAGCCGCGGUAAUACGGAGGAUGCGAGCGUUAUCCGGAUUUAUUGGGUUUAAAGGGUGCGCAGGCGGAAUGUCAAGUCAGCGGUAAAAUUUCGGGGCUCAACCCCGUCGUGCCGUUGAAACUGGCGUUCUUGAGUGAGCGAGAAGUAUGCGGAAUGCGUGGUGUAGCGGUGAAAUGCAUAGAUAUCACGCAGAACUCCGAUUGCGAAGGCAGCAUACCGGCGCUCAACUGACGCUCAUGCACGAAAGCGUGGGUAUCG